rnacentral:rRNA from 1 species
GCAGCCACCUUUUAAAACGCGUCAAAGCGUAACCUUAACCCCCAAAUACCAUUAAUCUUCAUGAACCCUCAAUUUAUAAUGAAUGACUCCAUAUUUAUAUGGAAGACACCAUGCUAGGAUUAGUAACAAGAAUUUAUAAUUCUCCAAAAUGCAAGUAUAAACCAACAUGGAUAGACCAUUGGUAGUCACCGAAUCUAAAUUUACUGCAAUAACACCCACAAGAAAACUCUGCAGUACUUACUCGUUAACCUAACACCAGCGCAUUAUAGGAAAGAUUUAAAAAAAGAGAAGGAAUUCGGCAAAUGACGGCCCCGCCUGUUUACCAAAAACAUCGCCUCUUGACUUGUAAUAAGAGGUCCAGCCUGCCCAGUGAAUUUUAAACGGCCGCGGUAUCCUAACCGCGCGAAGGUAGCAUAAUCACUUGUUCUUUAAAUGGGGACUUGUAUCAACGGCAUCACGAGGGUUUUACUGUCUCCUCUUUUUGAUCAGUGAAAUUGAUCUUCCCGUGAAGAAGCGGGAAUAAGCUUAUAAGACGAGAAGACCCCAUGGAGCUUAAAACCAAAUAACAACUUAACCACUUACCCCACUAUAAAUUUAAGCCCUGUUAUAAGGUUUUUGGUUGGGGUGACCGCGGAGUAAAACACAUCCUCCACGACGGAAAGAACACACUCUUUAUUUAAGAACCACAAUUCUAGAAAUUAGUAUACUAACGUUUACUGACCCGACAAUCGAUCAACGGACCAAGUUACCCUGGGGAUAACAGCGCAAUCUACUUCAAGAGCCCAUAUCGACAAGUAGGCUUACGACCUCGAUGUUGGAUCAGGGUAUCCCGGUGGUGCAGCCGCUACCGAAGGUUCGUUUGUUCAACGAUUAAAACCCUACGUGAUC